GAUGAACGCUGGCGGCGUGCCUAAUACAUGCAAGUCGAGCGAACGGACGAGAAGCUUGCUUCUCUGAUGUUAGCGGCGGACGGGUGAGUAACACGUGGAUAACCUACCUAUAAGACUGGGAUAACUUCGGGAAACCGGAGCUAAUACCGGAUAAUAUUUUGAACCGCAUGGUUCAAAAGUGAAAGACGGUCUUGCUGUCACUUAUAGAUGGAUCCGCGCUGCAUUAGCUAGUUGGUAAGGUAACGGCUUACCAAGGCAACGAUGCAUAGCCGACCUGAGAGGGUGAUCGGCCACACUGGAACUGAGACACGGUCCAGACUCCUACGGGAGGCAGCAGUAGGGAAUCUUCCGCAAUGGGCGAAAGCCUGACGGAGCAACGCCGCGUGAGUGAUGAAGGUCUUCGGAUCGUAAAACUCUGUUAUUAGGGAAGAACAAAUGUGUAAGUAACUAUGCACAUCUUGACGGUACCUAAUCAGAAAGCCACGGCUAACUACGUG
rnacentral:rRNA from 1 species